CCUACGGGGCGCAGCAGUGAGGAAUAUUGGUCAAUGGGCGGGAGCCUGAACCAGCCAAGCCGCGUGAGGGAAGAAGGUACAGCGUAUCGUAAACCUCUUUUGUCAGGGAACAAAGGCGGGGACUAGUCCCCGGAUGAGGGUACCUGAAGAAAAAGCAUCGGCUAACUCCGUGCCAGCAGCCGCGGUAAUACGGAGGAUGCGAGCGUUAUCCGGAUUUAUUGGGGUUAAAGGGUGCGCAGGCGGCCUGUUAAGUCAGCGGGAAAAGCCCGGGGCUCAACCCCGGCGAGCCGUUGAAACUGGCGGGCUGGAGUUGGAGAGAAGUACGCGGAAUGCGCGGUGUAGCGGUGAAAUGCUUAGAUAUCGCGCAGAACCCCGAUUGCGAAGGCAGCGUACCGGCUCCACACUGACGCUGAGGCACGAAAGCGUGGGUAUCGAACAGGAUUAGAUACCCGAGUAGUC
rnacentral:rRNA from 1 species